AGCGAACGCUGGCGGCAGGCCUAACACAUGCAAGUCGAACGAACUCUUCGGAGUUAGUGGCGGACGGGUGAGUAACACGUGGGGACGUGCCUUUUGGUUCGGAAUAACUCAGGGAAACUUGUGCUAAUACCGAAUGUGCCCUUCGGGGGAAAGAUUUAUCGCCAUUAGAGCGGCCCGCGUCUGAUUAGCUAGUUGGUGAGGUAACGGCUCACCAAGGCGACGAUCAGUAGCUGGUCUGAGAGGAUGACCAGCCACACUGGGACUGAGACACGGCCCAGACUCCUACGGGAGGCAGCAGUGGGGAAUCUUGAGCAAUGGGCGAAAGCCUGACGCAGCCAUGCCGCGUGAAUGAUGAAGGUCUUAGGAUUGUAAAAUUCUUUCACCGGGGACGAUAAUGACGGUACCCGGAGAAGAAGCCCCGGCUAACUUCGUG
rnacentral:rRNA from 1 species